UUUCCUACGGGAGGCAGCAGUAGGGAAUCUUCCACAAUGGACGAAAGUCUGAUGGAGCAACGCCGCGUGAGUGAAGAAGGGUUUCGGCUCGUAAAGCUCUGGUGGUAGUGAAGAAAGAUAGAGGUAGUAACUGGCCUUUAUUUGACGGUAAUUACUUAGAAAGUCACGGCUAACUACGUGCCAGCAGCCGCGGUAAUACGUAGGUGGCAAACGUUGUCCGGAUUUAUUGGGCGGAAAGCGAGUGC
rnacentral:rRNA from 1 species